CCUACGGGGGGCAGCAGUGGGGAAUAUUGCACAAUGGGGGAAACCCUGAUGCAGCGACGCCGCGUGAGUGACGAAGUACUUCGGUGUGUAAAGCUCUAUCAGCAGGGAAGAAAAUUACGGUACCUGCGUGAUAACCCCCGGGUAACUCCGUGCCAGCAGCCGCGGUAAUACGUAGGGGGCAAGCGUUAUCCGGAUUGACUGUGUGUAAAGUGAGCGUAGACGGGAGUGCAAGUCUGGAGGGAAAGGCGGGGGCUCAACCCCCGGACUGCUCUGGAUACUGUACGGCUGGAGUGCAGGAGAGGUAAGUGGAAUUCCUAGUGUAGCGGUGAAAUGCGUAGAUAUUAGGAGGAACACCAGUGGCGAAGGCGGCUUACUGGACUGUAACUGACGUUGAGGCUCGAAAGCGUGGGGAGCAAACAGGAUUAGAUACCCGUGUAGUC
rnacentral:rRNA from 1 species